AUUUCAUUUGCGGUUUCUUUUUUUCCCUUUUAAGAACAUACGGAAUGUUCAUUGGAUACGCUCCCAUAUACUGUUUUGUUUGUCUCUGCUUGAUACGUAACAAUUUACAGAAUUGUUUUCUAACAACAAUCGUGGUAUUGGGAAUUAACGGGAUUUUCUAAUUAAUGGUUAAGAUGUGAAACGAACGCCUUCGCAACAAACAUAUAAACUAAUGACGAAUGAGCAGCUAAACCAUAUAUAAAUGUCUGACAUUGUAAAAAAAAAAUUGUAUGACCUUAAUAGAUGAUAUGUAUAUAAUAUAGUAAGUUCGUUAUGUCUACAUGAAGACUUUCUUAUAAUUUGAAAUUGAAUAAUGUCUAGGAAAAUAACUUUAAAUCUACAUAUAUUAAUGUUGGCAAUAUUAAUUUGCUGGCAUGUAGAAGGAAGACAUAUAUCAGAUGUAAUUUCUUUACAUAAAAGACAAGUACAUGGCACACAAUUCCCUUUUAGAUGUCCGCAAGGUGUUAGUCACCAUGACUGUUACGAAAGUAUGCAAAAUCUGAUGUCUGUUUGGAUACGUAGGCUUAUGACUCACCCAGAAAGUUAAGACCACAAAAGAACUUAAAUAGGAUUAUCAAACAAAGACAUUGUCGCUUAGAACCAAGCUAAACAAAGUGAUUAAAUCAUUCUUUCAGCUUUGUCUUAGAGAUUUUUGGAAUUCCAGCAGUUUUAUAGAAGUUCAAUUUACAUAAGUACUGUACUUAUUCAACUGGUGUAUAGCGAGAAGUACCAAAAUACGACCACACGUGUUAAUUGUUAUAUAAAAAUUAAGCAUGGCUGUGAUAUAUGAUUUGUUUCUUGCUAAUACAUUUUCAGAUAGAUCUCUGGCAACGAUUUGACUUAGAAAUACAUGUGAGCUUCAUAAGCAUUAACUGAAAUUGUAUUUUCAGAACUAAUUAUAAUUGCGUUUACUGUUGAUAUACGGAGAAGACUUCAUUAGACUAGUAUGAUUUACGUGCGUCUCAUCUACUUUGCUUUAAUUUUGCAAUAAAUUAUGUUUAAACUAA